AGCCAAUGGGUCCGAGACAUUGAAAUCACGGGAAUUAUUACUUUUUCAUCUGGUUAUGCUACUAGGCAACGACAUAGCCGAACAAUAACCCCAUUUAAUACGCGUAAUAA
rnacentral:lncRNA from 1 species